rnacentral:rRNA from 1 species
GGGGGGGGGGGGGGGGGGGGGGGGGGGGGGGGGGGCGGGGGAACGGAGGAGGAGCGUGGGGCGCGGAUGGGCGCGGCGGACGGGUGAGUAAGACGUGGCUAACCUACCUAUAAGCCUGGGAUAAGUUCGGGAAACCGGAGCUAAUACCGGAUCAUAUUUUGAACCGCAUGGUUCAAACGUGAAAGACGGUCUUGGUUUACCUUAUAGCUUGAUCCGCGCUGCAUUAGCUAGUUGGUAAGGUAACGGCUUACCACGGCAACUAUGCAUAGCCGACCUGAGAGGGUGAUCGGCCACACUGGAACUGAGAUACGGUCCAGACUCCUACGGGAGGCAGCAGUAGGGAAUCCUCCGCAAUGGGCGAAAGCCUGACGGAGCAACGCCGCGUGAGUGAUGAAGGUCUUCGGAUCGUAAAACUCUGUUAUUAGGGAAGAACAUAUGUGUAAGUAACUGUGCACAUCUUGACGGUACCUAAUCAGAAAGCCACGGCUAACUACGUG